UACGGAGGGGGCGAGCGUUAUUCGGAAUUAUUGGGCGUAAAGGGCGCGUAGGCGGCCUGGCAAGUCAAAGGUGAAAUCCCUCGGCUCAACUGAGGAACUGCCUUUGAAACUGCAAGGCUUGAGGCCGGGAGGGGGUAGCGGAAUUCCCAGUGUAGCGGUGAAAUGCGUAGAUAUUGGGAGGAACACCAGUGGCGAAGGCGGCUACCUGGACCGGUUCUGACGCUGAUGCGCGAAA
rnacentral:rRNA from 1 species